UACGAGGGGGGCAAGCGUUGUUCGGAAUUACUGGGCGUAAAGCGUGCGCAGGCGGUUUUGUAAGUCUGUCGUGAAAUCCCCGGGCUUAACCUGGGAAUGGCGAUGGAGACUGCAAGGCUAGAGUUUGGCAGAGGGGGGUAGAAUUCCACGUGUAGCAGUGAAAUGCGUAGAGAUGUGGAGGAACACCGAUGGCGAAGGCAGCCCCCUGGGUCAAAACUGACGCUCAUGCACGAAAGCGUGGGGAGCAAACAGG
rnacentral:rRNA from 1 species